rnacentral:rRNA from 1 species
UCAAGCGUUUAAGGGCGAUUGGCGGAUGCCUUGGCACUGUAAGACGAUGAAGGACGUGGUAUACUGCGAUAAGUUUCGGGGAGCUGUAUGCAGGCUUUGAUCCGAAAAUUUCCGAAUGGGGAAACCCAACACUUCGUGUGUUACUUUAUACUGAAUUCAUAGGUAUAAAGAGUGAACCUGGAGAACUGAAACAUCUAAGUAACCAGAGGAAAAGAAAUCAAUUGAGACUCCGUGAGUAGUGGCGAGCGAAAGCGGAUUAGGCCAGCAACUUAGUUUAGACAAUUUGAAUAGUUUGGAAAAACUAACCACAGAGGGUGAUAGUCCCGUAAAAGUAAUGCUAAUCUAAGUUCAUGAGUAGAGCGGGACACGUGAAAUCUUGCUUGAAUUUUGGGGGACCACCCUCUAAGCCUAAGUACUCUACAGUGACCGAUAGUGAACUAGUACCGUGAGGGAAAGGUGAAAAGAACCCCUAUUAGGGGAGUGAAAUAGAACCUGAAACCGAUUGCCUACAAACAGUCGAAGCUCUUUUUAGAGUGACGGCGUACCUUUUGUAUAAUGGGUCAGUGACUUAAUUUAUUAAGCAAGCUUAAGCCAUCUAGGUGUAGGCGCAGCGAAAGCAAGUCUUAAUAGGGCGAUUAGUUUAAUGAAUUAGACCCGAAAACGAAUGAGCUUACCAUGAGCAGGUUGAAAGCAAGGUAACACUUGCCGGAGGACCGAACCAGUUGACGUUGAAAAGUCUUUGGAUGACUUGUGGUAAGGGGUGAAAGGCCAACCAAAUUCGUAGAUAGCUGGUUUUCCGCGAAAACUAUUUAGGUAGUGCGUUGAAUAAACAGACUUUUGGAGGUAGAGCACUAAAUGGGCUAGGGGAGAGAAAUCUUUACCAAACCUAAUAAAACUCCGAAUGCCAAACAUAAUUCCUCAACAGACAGACUGUGGGUGCUAAGGUCCAUGGUCGAGAGGGGAACAGCCCAGAUCACCAGAUAAGGUCCCUAAAUCAUGAUUAAGUGUGAAAGGAUGUGGAGAUUCCUUAACAGCCGGGAGGUUGGCUUAGAAGCAGCCAUCCUUUAAAGAUAGCGUAACAGCUCACCGGUCUAAUAGAGUUUCUGCGCCUAAGAUGUAACGGGGCUCAAAUCAUGUACCGAAUCUGUGGGUGUAUAAAGUUUUCGAAUUUUAUACGCGGUAGCGGAACGUUCUGUAAGCCUGUGAAGGGAUACCCGUGAGGGAUCCUGGAGGUAUCAGAAGUGCGAAUGCUGACAUAAGUAACGAUAAACGAAGUGAAAAACUUCGUCGCCGAAAAUCCAAGGGUUUCUGCGCAAGGUUAAUCCGCGCAGAGUUAGUCGGCCCCUAAGGCGAGGGCGAAAGCCGUAGUCGAUGGAAAUAAGGUUAAUAUUCCUUAACCAGAUGGUAGUGACGGAUUUUGUAAGUUGUGAGUUCUUAAUGGAUUGAACUUGCUGCGAAAAGGUCCCAGGAAAUAGCUCCAUCAUUAGACCGUACCCUAAACCGACACAGGUGGAUUAAUAGAGUAUAUUUAGGCGCUUGAGAGAAUGAUGUUGAAGGAACUCGGCAAAAUGCUUCUGUAACUUCGGAAUAAAGAAGACCUUUUUUUGGGCAACCAUUUAAAGGUGGCACAAGCCAGGGAGAAGCGACUGUUUAUCAAAAACACAGGGCUCUGCUAACACGUAAGUGGAUGUAUAGGGUCUGACGCCUGCCCGGUGCUGGAAGGUUAAUGCGAUGGGUGCAAGCUCAUUUCUGAAGCCCCAGUAAACGGCGGCCGUAACUAUAACGGUCCUAAGGUAGCGAAAUUCCUUGUCGGG